GACGUAGGGUCCGAGCGUUGUCCGGAGUUACUGGGCGUAAAGCGCGCGCAGGCGGUUGGUCGCAUCGGCGGUGAAAGCCCCCCGCUCAACGGGGGAGGGUCCGUCGAGAUGGGCCGACUGGUAGGCAGGGAGAGGCCAGUGGAAUUCCGGGUGUAGUGGUGAAAUGCGUAGAGAUCCGGAGGAACACCAGUGGCGAAGGCAGCGCUCUGGUCGGCAUCUGACGCUGAGGCGCGAAAGCUAGGGGAGCAAACAGG
rnacentral:rRNA from 1 species